rnacentral:tRNA from 1 species
GAAGAUUAUGUGGCCGAAUAUUAGGUGUUAGUCUCUUAAAUUAAUUAAGA